CGGGAUCCACCGUGGGGCCCCAGGGCAGAGCCUGGCCGGACCCAGGAGCGUUAGGCUCCUGCUGGGACAGCAACUCCGAGUCCCCCGCGGGCAGAUCCCGGCGCUGCGAGAUGCCGGUGUAACGUGCUUUUGACCAAAACCCCCAUCCCUCCUGAUUCGCAACCCCAUGGACCAGGCGGUAGCAAAUCCUGAGCAGUAGCCCAGAUGGUCACGUUGCGUGGCGGAAACUGCAAAUCGGGAGGGCUGCUAUACGUGUCGUCACACCGGGUCCCCCCCACGGACACUGGGGCAGAGUCACCGCCCAGCCCCGGGGCUCGCUCCGGUACCUGGAGACUGCAGCUCCGCAGCGGGGCGGGCAGAGCCCGGGGCAGCUCCAGCGGGAGCAGGGCCCGGGCCGGGCACGGCACGAGGAGGAUUAAUGAAGGUCUUCGCGGUUCAGUCGGACCCUCCCUUGUUCUCCAGCCCCGCAGCACCGGGGGAGGGCACAUGCCCAGUGCUCUGGGAAAUGCAGAUCUGCGCAUGCCCAGAACCGGGAGACACAACGGGGUCCCAUCUGUCCCUGAACCAGCCUCAGUGGGCGGGGCAGAGACGAGCGCUCAGCGGCGCAAAACUCUUCUCCGGCUCCGGGAGAGGCUCCAACGACCCCGCACGAGCCAGGCAGAGCCGCAGCGCCCCGCGCGCGUUCACAACCCGACUCGUCAUCCCACCCCCAGCCAAACGUCACUUCCGCUCCCGGAAGAGUCAGGAACUACAUCUCCCAGCCUGCGCCGGGGGGCGCUUCCGCCCUCUGCAGCCCAGGUGAUGACUUUCUCCAGCUGGUACUAGCCCUCUGGGGCAGCCCUGGGCCCUGUUAAUACUAAAUUCUGAGCCAGAGACUCCAGACAGGCUGGAGAAUGAUGUCCAUGUUUCGCUCCAGCUCAUCCCAUCUUCCCAUGGGAUAGGGAAGAGAAAUUGCUGCAGUGGAGCCAGUUCAGAGGCCGGUGACCUUCGAGGAGGUGGCUGUAUAGAAGAGUGGGCUCUGCUGGACCCCACUCAGAGAGCCCUCUACAGAAAAGUCAUGCAGAAGAACUAUGAGAAUGUGACCUCGCUGGGUAAGGAUUUCUGUGCCUAUGGUUAUUAGAAGGGGAAAAGAAGAGAAAAGGUUCACGCCAGCCCCACAAUGCCAUCUCUACUCUGCCCUGUUUCUGCAUCACCCCAACAUGCCACUGACACAUACAAUACCACUCUACCCUUUUCUCCUACAGAACAUUGACCCUGCCAGCAGGUAGGGGACCUUGCGGGACAACUACUGCAUUGGUGGGGUGCAAAAUAAACUUUAUUAAGAAAAUGCAAAAA